AUGGACAGUCUACCAGGUUCUCACUGUCCUGCUUUGGAUGGUCCCUCUUCAGCUCCACAUAUUGAUAAACUGGAAGUAAGCAGAAGGAAUGAAGUUCCAACACAUGUUGAUUCUCAUAAGGGAAAGAAAAUGGCAUCUUCUCCUACUGCUAACUAUAUAACUGAGCCAGAAAUGGUCUUUGAAGAACAUAGGAUAUUCGACCCAUGACAGCUUUCGAAAGUGAGAAAGAAAUAGAAUUGGCUAAGGAGGUGCCAGAAAAGCUUCCACAUGCUGCUGAUUUUGGAACUACGCCUUCUUUGCACUUUGUCCACAUGACAGGAUUAUCUUUCCAAGCCAAUGCCCAAGAAAUUAUAAACUUUUUCGCUCCACUGAAGCCUAUUAGAAUCACCAUGGAAUACAGCUCCAGUGGGAAGGCCACUGGAGAAGCUGAUGUGCAUUUUGAGACCCAUGAAGAUGCUGAUGCAAGGAUGCUCAAGGAUCGGUCUCACAUUCAUCAUAGGUAUAUUGAACUGUUCCUGAAUUUACGUUCAAAAGGAAAAUAAGACUUCAGGGGCUCCAGAUAAUAAGGAUGAAGCAAGAAGCAUUCCAUUUGCACAUCUUUCUUGGACAUGGGAUAUAUAGUUCCAGUUUAUUAGCAGUAACUGCUAGGGAAAUGAUUUUGGUGUUUUGGGUUAAUUGCUUCUAAGAAAAAUUUCAUAGUGGACUAUUUAGAAGAAGAAAUGAAAGAUCUAGAUGGGGAUUAUGAAAUAAACCACAGAUUAAAUUUUUUGUUUAAACUGUCCAGGAUCUGAUUUUAAAAUAUGGUCAUUAUCUUACAUGAUUAAACAGUUUAUUUUCAUAGAUGAUAUGUUACCCAAUGUAAAGACUACAUAUUUUUAUUCAGCAGCGUUUUUUAAACUCCUUCAAUUGAA